AGGAAUAUUGGACAAUGGUCGCAAGACUGAUCCAGCCAUGCCGCGUGCAGGAAGACGGCCCUAUGGGUUGUAAACUGCCUUUGUACCAGAGAAAACCUAUCUACGUGUAGAUAGCUGAUAGUUUGGUAAGAAUAAGCAUCGGCUAACUUCGUGCCAGCAGCCGCGGUAAGACGAAGGAUGCAAGCGUUAUCCGGAUUCAUUGGGUUUAAAGGGCGCGUAUGCGGGCUUGUAAGUCAGUGGUGAAAUCUCUCAGCUUAACUGAGAAACUGCCAUUGAUACUGCAGGCCUAGAGUAUAGAUGACGUUGGCGGAAUAUGACAGGUAGUGGUGAAAUACUUAGAUAUGUCAUAGAACACCGAUUGCGAAGGCAGCUAACGAAACUAUAACUGACGCUGAGGCACGAAAGUGCGGGGAUCAAACA
rnacentral:rRNA from 1 species